GUGGGUUAUGGAGACAUGUGCCCCAUUACCAUGGGCGGCAAGCUGGUUGGCACCUUGUGUGCCAUUGCUGGUGUGCUGACCCUUGCCCUACCUGUGCCCGUUAUCGUCUCCAAC
rfam:Scleropages formosus scaffold4765, whole genome shotgun sequence.